rnacentral:rRNA from 1 species
AUUGAACGCUGGCGGCAGGCCUAACACAUGCAAGUCGAACGGUAGCACAGAGAGCUUGCUCUUGGGUGACGAGUGGCGGACAGGUGAGUAAUGUCUGGGAAACUGCCCGAUGGAGGGGGAUAACUACUGGAAACGGUAGCUAAUACCGCAUAACGUCUUCGGACCAAAGUGGGGGACCUUCGGGCCUCACACCAUCGGAUGUGCCCAGAUGGGAUUAGCUAGUAGGUGGGGUAAUGGCUCACCUAGGCGACGAUCCCUAGCUGGGCUGAGAGGAUGACCAGCCACACUAGAACUGAGACACGGGCCAGACUCCUACGGGAGGCAGCAGUGGGGAAUAUUGCACAAUGGGCGCAAGCCUGAUGCAGCCAUGCCGCGUGUAUGAAGAAGGCCUUCGGGUUGUAAAGUACUUUCAGCGGGGAGGAAGGCGAUGGAGUUAAUAGCUUCAUCGAUUGACGUUACCCGCAGAAGAAGCACCGGCUAACUCCGUGCCAGCAGCCGCCGUAA